AACCAUCACCUCUAGCAUUACCAGUAUUAGAGGCACUGCCUGCCCAGUGACAUGCGUUCAACGGCCGCGGUAUCCUGACCGUGCAAAGGUAGCAUAAUCAUUUGUUCCUUAAAUAGGGACUUGUAUGAAUGGCCUCACGAGGGUUAAACUGUCUCUUACUCUUAAUCAGUGAACUUGACCUUCCCGUGAAGAGGCGGGAAUAAUAUAAUAAGACGAGAAGACCCUAUGGAGCUUAAAUCUACUUAGCUUAAGCAUUUUCUAAUCUCUUCCCCUCGGGAAUUAACAAAUCUGCCUUUGUUAAGCUUAAGAUUUUGGUUGGGGUGACCUCGGAGCAUAAAACAACCUCCGAAUGAUUUUAACCUAGACUUAACUAGUCAAAGUACCUAUUCAUUAAUUGACCCAAUCUUAUUGAUCAACGGAACAAGUUACCCUAGGGAUAACAGCGCAAUCCUACCCAAGAGUCCAUAUCGACAGUAGGGUUUACGACCUCGAUGUUGGAUCAGGACAUCCAAGUGGUGCAACCGCUACUAAUGGUUCGUUUGUUCAACGAUU
rnacentral:rRNA from 1 species